rnacentral:rRNA from 1 species
GCUGGCAGCUAGCUCUCUGCAACUCUCACAUGGUCACCCACUGAAGCUGAGCAGGGCUGCGCCUGGUCAGUACCUCGAUGGGAGACCACAUGGGAAAACUAGGUUGCUGCCGGAA